GAGACAAGAGACAGAACAGGACCUUGUGCGAGCACCAAUUGUAAACAUUGUUUACGUAGGGAAUAGCUGUUUUUAGCCGUUAACAAAGAAGCAUCCCAUUACGCGUCAUAAAAUAUUUGAUAUUACAAUAUUGAAUAUUAGUUGUUUUUUCCGUGAAUCAAAAUUAUGUCGUCGAAAUUGUAGUAUGUGUUUUGUGCCAAGAAAAUGAAGUGCUUUUGUUUUCUGAGCAACAAUUAAAAAAUUAAACAUUUACAGAAACGAAAAUUUCAUAAAUUUAAAUAUUAAAAUACCGUUUUACCAAGUGAUAUUUUUAAAGCAGGAUAUAAUACAGGUCGCUUUCAUCAUUAAAAACAUGUUUUUUGGAACCAGUAAAAAAUAAGCUGUACCAACAACACAAUCGUGUGUUCUAUCAGAAUAUAAUAUAUCAAAUGAGCAGCCCCCAUUAUCUGCGAGUUGCUCAAAAAUUACUCAUACUACAGUGCAAGAUUCAACUUUAGAAAAAAUAUCUAAUGUAAGUGAAAACGUAGAUGAAAAUCCGGAACAAAAAAUAUUACUGGAAGAAACAGCUGAUCUGCUUUCGAAGUCAACAAGUGCAACAACUGAUAUUCCAAGUGGAUGGAUAUAUUUUGCCUCGUAUUUACCACAUUAUUUGGAAGAAAAAAUGUGAAAUGAAUUUAUAGAUCAAAUUCAUAUACUGCAUUCAAAUAAAAAAGAGUCGUUGCAUCAUUAAAAAGCUUUUGAAAGCUCAAGAAUUUAUUUGCAACAUGUACAACGCGAAGAAAUGCAAAGACCUAGAUGACAGCCCUUUUCAAUUCUUUGUCGACAACUACAAAGCUUUUAACAUUAAUGAAGACUUAAAUGCAAUAAAAAAAGAGAUUUGAUGUUAGCUUGAUAUCUCCAUACGAAUCUGAACACCACUAGCAAUUUUUGAGGGCUUAUGAUAUUUCCCUUUGGAAUUGGGGCAUAAAAAACAAGAUAAGUUAUACUAUUCAGCAAAUAACAAUGAAGAUGAUGAGCAAGGUGAUGAGUUUUAUAGAAGUAAACAUGAUUCCGAAGAUGUAGCUGAUGAAUAAUAACACAUAUGUAUCUAAAUAAAGACGCUUUUAUAUGUAUUUUUUAUA